GCCCCGUAGCUCUGUGGUAGAGCACAUACAUUUGUAUGAGCGAAAAAAUAACUGUCAGAGGUUGCAGGUUCGAAUCCUGCCCAGUGGCU